rnacentral:tRNA from 1 species
UCCCUGGUGGCUCAGAUGGUAAAGAAUCUGUCUGCAAAGCAGGAGACCUGGGUUCAACCCCUGGUUUGGGAA